rnacentral:rRNA from 1 species
UACAGAGGGUGCAAGCGUUAAUCGGAAUUACUGGGCGUAAAGCGUGCGUAGACGGUUAUGUAAGUCAGAUGUGAAAGCCCCGGGCUUAACCUGGGAAUGGCAUUUGAGACUGCAUAGCUAGAGUGCUGGAGAGGUUUGCAGAAUUCCCGGUGUAGCGGUGAAAUGCGUAGAGAUCGGGAGGAAUACCAGAGGCGAAGGCGGCAAAACUGGACAGUAACUGACACUCAACUACGAAAGCGUGGGUAGCAAACAGGG